rnacentral:sRNA from 1 species
UGACAUCUCCGUAUGUUAUGCCCUUGG